CUCCUCAAAAAUGAUUAUAGUUAUAUAAGUUUCCCUCCCACUCCCGCCGUCGUCAUGGCAACCCCCACCCCUCCUUUUUGAACGUCAGAGCCAGGAGCUGGAGGAUGAAGCCGCAUGCAGCUUCAGCGUCUCGUGCCUCUCAGAGAGCACCUGUGAUUAUUUUGCAGAGGAGGAGCAGCUGCUGCAGCGACGGAUAUCAUCUAAUGAGAGGUUCGGACUCUGGGCUGCUCUUCGUCGCUUAAAAAAUCGCCACCGAUCGAGCAGCGUCCACAGCCGGUAUGUCGUGGUUGUUCUUGGACUGGUUCGUCCCACUCUACUUGCUGGUGUCGGUGUUGGUGCUGGCAGGCUUCGGAGCGUGCCUGUACUUCCUAGAGCCCGGGUUGCAGGAUGCCCACAAGUGGAGCAACAAAACAGUCCGGCAUCACCCGCUGGUGGCCAGUGUGAACUGCAGAGAUGACGAUAGCAAUGCCCUGAUAUGAUCAAGAGGGCGAGGCGAAGCGGGAGGGCGGCUGACCAUCUGGACAGGGGUGCUGCCGCCGGGACACCCGUGGGAUGGGAGCCAACACCCAAACGACCGUGGAAGAAAAAUGGGAGAGAAAGGAUGAGAAAGGAGGGGGAGAUUAUCUGUUGUGUCUGAUAAUGCAAACCUUGUUCUAUAUCAUUCCAACUUUUCUCUGAUCUCUGCUGAUUUUCGUUGUAGAGGUGAGAGAAAAGUAAAGCAGAGACGUUUUUAACAUUCUUAAAAAUAAAAAUAAAAAAAGAAGAAGAAAAAUUAAAAAGCCAAAUGCACAAUGCGGAGAAGACUGUAUCCAGAUAGAGAUUGUGGGGUGAUUGGAGGAAGUGUUGCCCUUUAGAAAUGUGUUUGUAAAUUUCACGCCAUCCUAUACUUGUGCCAAGUUUUACACGCAUUUUGUAAUUUUGACAAUCACUUUGCAUAUCUCAUAAAGUUUACUUACAUUGUGCAUUUAAUUAGCUGAAGUGAGCGACAUAAGUGCAAUGACUUUGCUGCCAGCGGGGAGGGUUAUAAAUCCUCUCUCUGAUGUCGGCGUGGCAGCUGCUCAGACGCAUGUGGAUUGUUUAGUGCCGCUGUGCCAAAACGGUGUGUUAUUAGUGACUUACUUUAAACUGUUAUGUACCCAAUAAAUGCAACUGAUUCAUUUAAGGUGCCAAGAUUAUCCUAGAUGGACCAAGACGACUGACAAAUAGCCUAGUAUUUGGUAAAGUGUAUUUUUAAUUUUUUUGCUUUCUUUAUUUUCAUUGUUUUUACUUGACAGCAUGGUGAGAAACUGUGGGUGUGUAACGACCCUCUUUUAAGAAUCAUAUGCUUCCUUUGUUCAUACAAAAAUAAAACUGCUCAGUCCUCGCUUCUUUGUAUUUGCUGUUUCUAUGCAUGAAUAUCCACCCUAAAUAUAUGGUCUAAAGAUAUGUGCUUCUAAAUAAUUCAUAUAUAUAUAUAUAUUGUAAUAUUUUAACUAGCUUGUACUCCAGCAGCUGGGCUUGCUUAAUAUUUCCCAUUAAGGAUUUACAUUAAGCUUACAUUAAAGUAGUCACUUGAUAUCCUUUUAUCUAUAAACUCUCAGCAGCUCCGUCAAAAUUUCUCAAAUUGUUUUAAGUUACCUGACUUUUUAAGCCCUGACAAGAUAAAAUAUUCACAAAAGCAAAGGGCUUUGGAUUUUCUGCCCUCCUUAGUCAUCUCAACCUGGCUCUUUUGUAGGUUGAACCCCUGGUUUGGAAAGCCUUUGAAGUCCAAUAAUAUGACAGCCCAGAGCAGUAAAAUACUCUUUAUGCUUUGAUUCAGCAAUAUCAAAACUAUGAUAUCAUCUGAGCUUCAGUCAAAGAUUGAAAUGCAUGUUUGCUGUAUUUUUGUAAGUAAAUUUGUACUUUCAAUGCAGGACUUUCAUUUACAGUGCAGUCUUUCUAUAUAUAUACCUUCAGCUUUAAAACAAAAACAAAAAAAAGCUUACAAUACUACACCUACACUUUUGAAAAGCCCUUUAAACUCUGCUCAGAGUAGAUGCUUCGAGUUUGAAGGUCACUCACUCAUGGAGUGCGUAGAGUCUGUAAAGAAGAGGCUUUUUCAUUUAAGACAGUACGAGGAUAAAACUAGCUCUGCAACAGUUUGAAAUCAUGCUUAGAUAUUCAUAUUUUCUCUUGUAAUGCAGAAAAAACAAACUCUGACAGUGUAGUUGUCAGCAGAGUCAGAGGAGGUGCAUUCACAUUAUUAUGUGAAUGCAUUUGUAGGUGUGGGGUUGUUUGUCUAUAGUACCUUGUUACUAUUCUGCCAAGACUCUGCAGCUGAAGACGAUGUAGUAGCUAAAUCUGGUUUGAAGUACGAUGCAUCAUUUCACCUGUGACAUUAAUGUUCUUGUGACCGGGUUCUAUAAAAGCAUCAAACAUAAGUUAAUGGUCUGAGUGAUUCUGUCACUCAUAUUUUGCUCUAUAAUCAGACAAGCUUCACAGUGUCCCACGAACCAAAUCAAAUGAGACACCAGCGUGGGAGUGCAACAGUGAAGCCUCAGUGUCGAGGUAUGGAGAGAAUGGCACUCGUGUGCCCACUACUUCCUACUGCUCUGCUCCGAGUCUCACACACUGUGCCUUGUUUACUCUCUCAGUCUGUCAGCAGCAGACACGGGGCAUCAUCGCCACACGUCAGAAUGAGUGUUUUUAACCGUCUGGCACCUUUGAUCCCACAAGUACCUGACUCCAGCAGACAAACAAAGGAGCAUCCAAAAGUGUGUUUGUCACCUCCUCUGCCUCUUUCUUCUCCCGUCAUUAAGAAGAAAGCCAUUCAAAUCCCAUCAUUUGAUGAGAAGGGACUUAUCUUUGAAAAACACAACGCAAAGCCAUACACGGCGGACAGAUCCUUUGAUUCAAUUUGGACAUCCAAGACGCCCAGCCCGCCCUCGAGGAGUAAAUCAUGUCAGCAUUCACAGAGAAACCAUGGAGAAAGAGCUUCAACCCUCCCAAGGACCAAGCCUAAAACAUGCAACUCUCAGUAUCUCUCUGCAAAGCCCAGCACCUCCAUUUCUCCUUCUCCUAAGCCAAAUUCCUCUCCCACUCUUCCCGCUGUCAAACCAAAGCCAAGUGAUUCUCUUCAUCUUCCCGCCUCACAGGCGAGUGAUCUUUCUCCAUUACUGCACCAGCCAGCACCAAAGCCAAGUGUAUCUCCAACUCUGACAGUCCCAACACCCAGGCUAAGCCCAUCUCCAACGUCCCUUUGCCAAGGGACGAGCUCAGACGGUCAACCAGUAAAACAGCCUUCUCCUAUUGCAAAAGAAAGACGCGCUAAAUCUAUUCCCAUCUGUAAUGUCAAAGCGGAGACAUCGAAUGAGAUAAAGCAUGAAAUUCUUGACCAGGAUGCUUUACUGGACUUUACUCACCCUGAGAUGAGAAGAGGUCGUCCCAUUAUGAACAGAGAGUCUCAACAUCAGACUUACUCAGAAUCCCACAGACGCCCGGUCACAUCUUCGGAUCUUUGCUUUCUGCAAAGCAAACUUGGACUAAGUAAAAAAGAAACUACUGCCAAAGAUGAAGCAAAGGCUCUGCAAAGGAGUACAGACAUUACUGCAUUACCUAAACCAAAGUGGAACAUCAAUCAGCACCAGGAAUUUCAACCCAGUAGAGUGACAGGUACACAAAUAUCCACUAACUCUAAAGGCAUUAAGUCUGCUAACGUUGCUCACCGGGAGUCUCCAUCAGUGUUUGAUGGACCGGCCACUCUGUCAGGUCCUCAAAGAAAAUAUAAAGACUACCCUCAGAAGAGCAAUUACUCUCAGACCUUACAUUUUACCUCAGCUCACCCACCAUAUGAGCAACUGUAUUCUGAGAAAAAAGCAGCUUUACCCGUGACUCCUCAAACAUCCUUUUCCACUGAGCCUCUUUUUAAUCAGUCAGGCGUUUCGCCAAGCAUCGAGGCAAGGAGGAGACGGUUCGACCUGCACAGUGAAACAAGAUCAGAAGCAGCAUUUCUGUCAGCUUCUCGUCCCAGGAAACAGCAGGAAGAAAACAAUAAUCAGACAAUUACAGGAAACUCUCAUAAAAUCUUUCAUGAAACUGGUGCAUCUCAAAACAUCAAGUCCCCACAGAGACCCCUCAGGUUCCCGUCGAAGGCACAGAGUCAAACUGUGGAUGUAAGGUGUGCAGUGAGUCAGUCUCACUGUUUAUCAAAGGAUUACAGCUGCCAGUCAAGAGAAGCUCAUCAGAAAAUGGAGGCUUCCCACUGCACACACAGGUUAAAUCAGCUUAAGACAUGUCAGGUGGCACCUCAGACCCAGGAGGCCUCCCACCCUGCCUGUGGUGUGUGCACCACCUCACAAAGGGGAUCCUUUUUGAAACCUGACCUUCAGUCACACAGACGUGGCUUAGAUCAGGAACAGUCUCCUCCUCACAAAGAGAUGAAGGUCAGCAGUACAACACUGAAUCAAACAGACAUGUUAGCACCACCUGACCACCGUGGGGUGCCAGCAAAGCUACCAGAACGUCCCUCAGAGAAAUAUGCUGCAAGCUGGCCCCCGUCUGUAGCGCACUGCCCAUUCAGCACAGACAGUUUUGGCCUAAGCUCAAAGGGGGUCUUUGACAGAGUAUACCAGAGCCUGGAAAAGACAACAACAGCAACAACAGCUUCCAGUCUACUAAAUCAGCUGAAUGACUCUGAAAUAGGCAAAGUAUUUUUCUCAGAGGAAUCAGAAGACCCCUAUUACGUCACGAUGUAUUACCCAGGCUCAAUUUAUGUGGGUAAGUACAAAUAUAUUCAAGUCACCUGCAAGAUUUUAACAGAACAAACCCAGCGACAGCGCCUCUUUGAUGCCCCUGCUUUUAUUUGGAGUGGGAGUUGA